rnacentral:rRNA from 1 species
AUUGAACGCUGGCGGCAGGCCUAACACAUGCAAGUCGAGCGGAGCGGCGGACGGGUGAGUAAUGCCUAGGAAUCUGCCUGGUAGUGGGGGAUAACGUCCGGAAACGGGUGCUAAUACCGCAUACUAUCAGUUGAGCCUAGGUCGGAUUAGCUAGUUGGUGGGGUAAAGGACUACCAAGGCGACGAUCCGUAACUGGGCUGAGUGGAUGAUCAGUCACACUGGAAUGGAGACACGGCCCGGCCCCCAACGGGAGGCAGCAGUGGAGAAUAUUGGAAAAUGGGCGAAAGCCUGAUCCAGCCAUGCCGCGGGGGUGAAGAAGGUCUUCGGAUUGUAAAGCACUGUAAGUUGGGAGGCGUUACCAACAGAAUAAGAACCGGCUAACUUCGUGCCAGCAGCCGCGGUAAUACCUGUC